CCAUUGUGCAUAAUGCUCUGUCUAGCCUCUUUUUCACUAAAUUUUCACCAUCUCUAUUAUUUGCCCAUGUGAACGCACACCCUUUUGUAUCAAUGUCCAUUAAAGAACAAUCAUUCAGUAAUUCCCGAAAGGCUGCAAUCCGAUGUUGAUCCGCUUCCCUCUUCCCUACCUUCUCCCAACUAUAUAGGAUUUCAUUAAAGUCCCCC
rnacentral:lncRNA from 1 species